rnacentral:rRNA from 1 species
CAGGUGGUGCAUGGUUGUCGUCAGCUCGUGUCGUGAGAUGUUGGGUUAAGUCCCGCAACGAGCGCUACCCUUAUCGUCCGUUACUAACGCGUAAAGGCGAGGACUCAGACGAGACCGCCGGGGACAACUCGGAGGAAGGUGGGGACGACGUCAAAUCAUCAUGCCCCUUACGACCUGGGCUACACACGUGCUACAAUGGGUACAACAAAGAGAAGCGAGACCGCAAGGUGGAGCAAAACUCAGAAAAGUACUCUCAGUUCAGAUCGUGGGCUGCAACCCGCCCACAUGAAGUUGGAGUUGCUAGUAAUCGCGGAUCAGCAUGCCGCGGUGAAUACGUUCCCGGGCCUUGUACACACCGCCCGUCACACCAUGGGAGUUGGGAGCGCCCGAAGCCAGUGAGGUAACCGAAAGGAGCCAGCUGUCGAAGGUGAGACCAAUGACUGGGGUGAAGUCGUAACAAGGUAACCA